rnacentral:rRNA from 1 species
AGUGAACGCUGGCGGUAGGCCUAACACAUGCAAGUCGAACGGCAGCACAGUAAGAGCUUGCUCUUACGGGUGGCGAGUGGCGUACGUGUGAGGAAUACAUCGGAAUCUACUUUUUCGGGGGGGAUAACGUAGGGAAACUUACGCUAGUACCGCAUACGACCUACGGGUGAAAGCAGGGGAUCUUCGGACCUUGCGCGAUUGGAUGAGCCGAUGUCGGGUUAGCUAGUUGGCGGGCUAAAGGCCCACCAAGGCGACGAUCCGUAGCCGGUCUGAGAGGAUGGUCGGCCACACGGGAACUGGGACACCGUCCAGACUCCUACGGGAGGCCGCAGUGGGGAAUAUUGGACAAUGGGCGCAAGCAUGAUCCAGUCAUACCGCGUGUGUGAAGGAGGCCUUCGGGUUGUAAAGACCUUUUGUUGGGAAAGAAAAGCAGCAGGUUAAUACCCAGCUGUUCUGACGGUACCCAAAGAAUAAGCACCGGCUAACUUCGUG